rnacentral:lncRNA from 1 species
CCUCAGUAAAAUAAUUGCGCCGGCCCCAAAUGCAGCCACAAAUUCGAGGGGUUGGGCAGACGGGGCUGGUCUUUUUUGGAGCUAGUAUAUAUAUUUUUUGCUUCACUGGUCGAUUUCUGCAAUUGAAACAUGUAGACUUUUUUUAUCUGCUUCUCAAGUAGGUAUAUUGCUAUUUUCACAGGGAGGCAGCAAGCAAAGGGAUAUCCACAAUCUGCCGGUGGUGGCAGGCCCACUCCAGGAGUCUGAGGUGCGGGAAGUUCCUCCGCCCCCUCUGGACACCGAGGGGUUCCCCGGCGUACUGCGUUGGUUCCAUACUAGAUUCGAGGUGUCGGGCGAGGGACCUUCAGUACCUCGUGGACUGCGAGGGGUAUGGUCCGGAGGAGAGAUGCUGGGUUCCAGUGGAGGACGUGUUGGACCCUUCAUUGCUGCAGGAGUUCCACCGUCUCCAUCCGGAUCGCCCUGCACCUCGCCCUCUGGGUCGUCCCCGUCCCCAAGGGGGGUUACUGUCACGACAUCCGCCGAAGUCGAUGCCUCUCCUUGUUCGGGCAGCAUUCGGCGUCGCCGGUCUUCUAGCUAUCAUUGAUCUACUUUUCAUUUUCCAUUUGUUUUGCCUUGUCUUCCCA